rnacentral:rRNA from 1 species
CCUACGGGUGGCAGCAGUCGAGAAUCAUUCACAAUGGGGGAAACCCUGAUGGUGCGACGCCGCGUGGGGGAAUGAAGGUCUUCGGAUUGUAAACCCCUGUCAUGUGGGAGCAAAUUAAAAAGAUAGUACCACAAGAGGAAGAGACGGCUAACUCUGUGCCAGCAGCCGCGGUAAUAAAGAGGUCUCAAGCGUUGUUCGGAAUCACUGGGCGUAAAGCGUGCGUAGGCUGUUUCGUAAGUCGUGUGUGAAAGGCGCGGCCGCAACCCGCGGACGGCACAUGAUACUGCGAGACUAGAGUAAUGGAGGGGGAACCGGAAUUCUCGGUGUAGCAGUGAAAUGCGUAGAUAUCGAGAGGAACACUCGUGGCGAAGGCGGGUUCCUGGACAUUAACUGACGCUGAGGCACGAAGGCCAGGGGAGCGAAAGGGAUUAGAUACCCUUGUAGUC